UUGGAGGGCAAGUCUGGUGCCAGCAGCCGCGGUAAUUCCAGCUCCAAUAGCGUAUAUUAAAGUUGUUGCAGUUAAAAAGCUCGUAGUUGAACUUCGGGGUCUACCCAUUGGUCAGGCUUAAUUGUCUGCACUGGUGAGAUGGAUCUCUACCUUCUGAGGAACUUUCAUGCCAUUUAUUUGGUGUGGUUGGAAAUCAGGACUGUUACUUUGAAAAAAUUAGAGUGUUUAAAGCAGACUAUCGUCUGAAUACAUUAGCAUGGAAUAAUGAAAUAGGACGGACUGAUUCUAUUUCGUUGGUUUCUAGGAUCACCGUAAUGAUUAAUAGGGAUAGUUGGGGGCAUUAGUAUUCAAUUGUCAGAGGUGAAAUUCUUGGAUUUAUUGAAGACUAACUACUGCGAAAGCAUUUGCCAAGGAUGUUUUCAUUAAUCAAGAACGAAAGUUAGGGGAUCGAAGACGAUCAGAUACCGUCGUAGUCUUAACCAUAAACUAUGCCGACUAGGGAUCGGACGAAGUUAAUUUUAUAAUGACGCGUUCGGCACCUUACGGGAAACCAAAGUGUUUGGGUU
rnacentral:rRNA from 1 species